UACGGAGGGUGCGAGCGUUGUCCGGAAUCACUGGGCGUAAAGGGCGCGUAGGCGGCGCGGAUAGUCGGCGGUGAAAGCCCGGAGCUCAACCUGGGAAUGGCCGUUGAAACUGGCGAACUGGAGUGUGGCAGAGGGGGGUGGAAUUCCGCGUGUAGCAGUGAAAUGCGUAGAGAUGCGGAGGAACACCGAUGGCGAAGGCAGCCCCCUGGGCUGACACUGACGCUCAGGCACGAAAGCGUGGGGAGCAAACAGG
rnacentral:rRNA from 1 species